rnacentral:lncRNA from 10 species
CUUUUUGUCCCCUCCUUGCUGGUCUUCUAAGCAGAUUGAAGCAGCUUCAUCUCAUUCCUGGUUCAUCCUGAUUCCCUCAGUGGCUUGCUCCUGCAUUAGUAAUGUAAAACUGGCCCAAAAGGGUUUAAAAUUGUCAGAAGUUGAUCUUGAUCAGUUCAAAUAUUUUUUGACAAAGAAAAUCAGUUCUGGUCAGUUCAAAUCUAUUUUGACCAGUUUAAACCAAUUCUGCAGAACUCGAGCCUGUGGUCGGUAAACCCAGGAAGAUGGCUGAAGACUAUGCUGAUUCAAGCCAAAGCAAGGAAUCAGGUGGUGAGGUCUCUCAACCUUCAGAUGGGUUCAGAGGUGCUGUCCAGGAUUCAGGGUCUUGCAAAGAGAUACGUAAAUAGAAUGCUCCACAAUAUGUGAAGAUAUUAGUGUCCCUUGUGAAUGCUCAACAAAGACUGACAUGAGCAGAGGAGGAUUUGAAUUAUCAGGAUGGGCCGCAAAGGAGAUUCUUCCAAGAUUUCAGAAGUUGGAAGGGAAGCAGAAUCCAUUUGAUAACACAAACACAUUGUUGCUUAUCUGUUGACUCAACUUGGGAUGAAGAAGCAGUUGAGCCAGUUGUGUGUGUAGAGCUCAAGGACAAAGGUCCUUAGCUUCUGCAGAAUACUAUCAUCACCAAGCUCACAGGCUUCUAGAGCAGACAUGUGCUUCAGUCCAUUCUGUGGGCUUCCAGCUUCUACUCUUGGAGUUCCAUCCUUUUUUAUGAUAUUACCUUUCUAACUGCAUAUGCUGUGGACUUCAAGCACUUGAAUCAGAUGUAGAGACAUUAUAUGGACUGCUUGAGUAGCCCCCACAACUGUGUAAGCCAAAUCCCUGUAACAAGUAUUUAUCCGUCCAUCCAUUCAUCUGUCUGUCUAUCUAUGAAUCUAUUGAUCUAUCUAGCUAUAUUAGUCCAUUCUUGCACUCUAUAAAGCACUACACAAGACUGGAUAAUUUAUAAAG